rnacentral:rRNA from 1 species
AUUGAACGCUGGCGGCAUGCCUAACACAUGCAAGUCGAGCGGAUGAAGGGAGCGUUCGCCUGUAUUCAGCGGCGGACGGGUGGGUGAGUCCUAGGAAGCUACCUGGUAGUGGGGGAUAAGGUAAGUAAACGGGAGCUAAGACAGCAUACGUCCUGAGGGAGAAAGUGGGGGAUCUUCGGACCUCACGCUAUCAGAUGAGCCUAAGUCGGAUUAGCUAGUUGGUGGGGUAAAGGCCUACCAAGGCGACGAUCCGUAACUGGUCUGAGAGGAUGAUCAGUCACACUGGAACUGAGAAACGGUCCAGACUCCUACGGGAGGCAGCAGUGGGGAAUAUUGGACAAUGGGCGAAAGCCUGACCCAGCCAUGCCGCGUGUGUGAAGAAGGUCUUCGGAUUGUAAAGCACUUUAAGUUGGGAGGAAGGGCAGUAAGUUAAUACCUUGACGUUUUGACGUUACCAACAGAAUAAGCACCGGCUAACUUCGUG